UGGGGAAUUUUGGACAAUGGGCGAAAGCCUGAUCCAGCAAUGCCGCGUGUGUGAAGAAGGCCUUCGGGUUGUAAAGCACUUUUGUCCGGAAAGGAAUCCUUGGCUCUAAUACAGUCGGGGGAUGACGGUACCGGAAGAAUAAGCACCGGCUAACUACGUGCCAGCAGCCGCGGUAAUACGUAGGGUGCAAGCGUUAAUCGGAAUUACUGGGCGUAAAGCGUGCGCAGGCGGUUUGCUAAGACCGAUGUGAAAUCCCCGGGCUCAACCUGGGAACUGCAUUGGUGACUGGCAGGCUAGAGUAUGGCAGAGGGGGGUAGAACUCCACGUGUAGCAGUGAAAUGCGUAGAGAUGUGGAGGAAUACCGAUGGCGAAGGCAGCCCCCUGGGCCAAUACUGACGCUCAUGCACGAAAGCGUGGGGAGCAAACAGGAUUAGAUACCCUGGUAGUCCACGCCCUAAACGAUGUCAACUAGUUGUUGGGGAUUCAUUUCCUUAGUAACGUAGCUAACGCGUGAAGUUGACCGCCUGGGGAGUACGGUCGCAAGAUUAAAACUCAAAGGAAUUGACGGGGUCAUAGCUG
rnacentral:rRNA from 1 species